rnacentral:rRNA from 1 species
CACACACCCGUGCACGUUUUUGAGGGAGCUUCGAGUUUGAUUUGCCUCUUUGGGCGAUUUUCUUGCAUCCCCUCAAACUUCAUUAUACGCUGUUAACAAUGCUGAACGUGCUUUGUGCCGCAAGGCCUUAAACAUUAAUACAACUUUUAACAACGGAUCUCUUGGCUCUCGCAUCGAUGAAGAACGCAGCGAAAUGCGAUAAGUAAUGUGAAUUGCAGAAUUCAGUGAAUCAUCGAAUCUUUGAACGCACCUUGCGCUCCCUGGUAUUCCGGGGAGCACGCCUGUUCGAGUGUCGCGAAAUUCUUCAAGCCUUGGAUGGAUUUUUUUUGUCUGUCCUUGGGCUUGGUUGUUGGGCUCUGCCGUGUCCUUCAUUGGGACGGCUGGCCUUAAAAGCAUUAGCCGAUCCUCGUGUGGUACUGGUUCUACUCAGCGUGAUAACAAUCUGAUCGUUGAGGACAUCUUCUGGAUGGCCAGUCAUCAUUUGGGUU